rnacentral:rRNA from 1 species
GCUUGUCUCAAAGAUUAAGCCAUGCAUGUCUAAGUAUAAACGACUUUAUACUGUGAAACUGCGAAUGGCUCAUUAUAUCAGUUAUAGUUUAUUUAAUAGUCCUUGCUACUUGGAUAACCGUAGUAAUUCUAGAGCUUAUACAUGCAUUAAACCCCGACUUCUGGGUGGGGUGUAUUUAUUAGAUGGAAACCAAUGCGGGGUAACCCGGAAUAUGGUGAUUCAUAAUAACUUUCAGAUCGAUUUAUCGAUGCAUCAUUCAAGUUUCUGCCCUAUCAGCUUUGGAUGGUAGGGUAUUGGCCUACCGUGGCUUUAACGGGUAACGAAGAAUUAGGGUUCGAUUCCGGAGAGGGAGCCUGAGAAAUGGCUACCACAUCCAAGGAAGGCAGCAGG